UACGUAGGCAGCGAGCGUUGUUCGGAGUUACUGGGCGUAAAGGGUGUGUAGGCGGUUGUUUAAGUUUGGUGUGAAAUCUCCCGGCUCAACUGGGAGGGUGCGCCGAAUACUGAAUGACUUCGAGUGCGGGAGAGGAGAGUGGAAUUCCUGGUGUAGCGGUGAAAUGCGUAGAUAUCAGGAGGAACACCGGUGGUGUAGACGGCUCUCUGGACCGUAACUGACGCUGAGACACGAAAGCGUGGAUAGCAAACAGG
rnacentral:rRNA from 1 species